AUUGAACGCUGGCGGCAGGCCUAACACAUGCAAGUCGAACGAGUGGCGGACGGGUGUGUAAUGUCUGGGAAACUGCCCGAUGGAGGGGGAUAACUACUGGAAACGGUAGCUAAUACCGCAUACCAGCGGAUGUGCCCCGGUGGGGUUAGCUAGUAGGUGGGGUAACGGGUCACCUAGGCGACCAUCCCGAGCCGGUCUGAGAGGAUGACCAGCCACCCGGGAACGUGGACACGGUCCAGGCUCCUCCGUAAUGCAGCAGUGGGGAAUAUUGCACAAUGGGCGCAAGCCUGAGGCAGCCAUGCCGGGUGUAUGAAGAAGGCCUUCGGGUUGUAAAGUACUUUCAUCGAGGAGGCGGUACUCGCAGAAGAAGCACCGGCUAACUCCGUGCCAGCAGCCGCGGUAAUUC
rnacentral:rRNA from 1 species